GGGCGGUUAGCUCAGUUGGCAGAGCGCCUGACUUACAUUCAGGAGGUUUCACAGGUUCGAGCCCUGUACCGCCCA
rnacentral:tRNA from 3 species